GACGAACGCUGGCGGCGUGCUUAACACAUGCAAGUCGAACGGAAAGGCCCUGCUUUUGUGGGGUGCUCGAGUGGCGAACGGGUGAGUAACACGUGAGUAACCUGCCCUUGACUUUGGGAUAACUUCAGGAAACUGGGGCUAAUACCGGAUAGGAGCUCCUGCUGCAUGGUGGGGGUUGGAAAGUUUCGGCGGUUGGGGAUGGACUCGCGGCUUAUCAGCUUGUUGGUGGGGUAGUGGCUUACCAAGGCUUUGACGGGUAGCCGGCCUGAGAGGGUGACCGGCCACAUUGGGACUGGGAUACGGCCCAGACUCCUACGGGAGGAAGCAGUGGGGAAUAUUGAACAAUGGGCGGAAGCCUGAGGCAGCAACGCCGCGUGCGGGAUGACGGCCUUCGGGUUGUAAACCGCUUUCGCCUGUGACGAAGCGUGAGUGACGGUAAUGGGUAAAGAAGCACCGGCUAACUACGU
rnacentral:rRNA from 1 species